rnacentral:rRNA from 1 species
UACGAAGGGGGCUAGCGUUGCUCGGAAUCACUGGGCGUAAAGCGCACGUAGGCGGCUUUUUAAGUCAGGGGUGAAAUCCUGGAGCUCAACUCCAGAACUGCCUUUGAUACUGAGAAGCUUGAGUCCGGGAGAGGUGAGUGGAGCUGCGAGUGUAGAGGUGAAAUUCGUAGAUAUUCGCAAGAACACCAGUGGCGAAGGCGGCUCACUGGCCCGGUACUGACGCUGAGGUGCGAAAGCGUGGGGAGCAACAGG